UACGUAGGGGGCUAGCGUUGUCCGGAAUCAUUGGGCGUAAAGCGCGUGUAGGCGGUCCGGUAAGUCCGCUGUGAAAGUCGGGGGCUCAACCCUCGAAUGCCGGUGGAUACUGUCGGGCUAGAGUGCGGAAGAGGCGAGUGGAAUUCCUGGUGUAGCGGUGAAAUGCGUAGAGAUCAGGAGGAACACCCGGGGCGAAGGCGGCCCUCUGGCUCGACCCUGACGCUGAGGCGCGAAAGCGUGGGGAGCGAACGGG
rnacentral:rRNA from 1 species